GCAUGCUGGUAGUCCCAGCUACUCGGGAGGCUGAGGCAGGAGGAUCGCUUGAGCCCAGGAGUUUGAGUCUCUCAUGCUUCAUGCUUGUUUCAGCUGUUCUAAUGCUCUCGAAUGGCGGCCUAGGUUUUCCUCUCUGACUGGUGUAUGGAGAAAACAAGAAGGAGGGAUGCAUGGAGGUUUUUAUCCAUGGCCAGUGGGGAACCAUCUGCGACGAUGGAUGGAGUGACAAGGACGCAGCUGUGGUCUGUCGGCAGCUUGGCUUUAAGGGCCCCGCCAGAGCACGAGGCGUGGCUUACUUUGGGGAAGGAGCAGGACCCAUCCACGUGGACAACGUGAAGUGCACAGGACAUGAGAGGUCCUUGGCUGACUGCAUCAAGCAGGACAUCGGAAGACACAACUGCCGCCACAGCGAGGAUGCAGGCGUUAUUUGCGAUUAUUCUGGCAAGAAAGCGUCAGGUAACAGUAAGAAAGGUGAGCCGCCUUCUGGGGCCCUAAGCAAGCCACAGGAUGCUGACCCCCACCUCGUUACUCCAAGGAGGGCUUUGGUGACAUAAGUCCCGUGCAGCAAGAACGUAUGCAGUCAGUGCCUGCUCCUGGUGGUAGUAUUUAGAGCAGUGGUUCUUGGCAAACUUGCCCAGGUGGGGCUUGCAGAGAGAGCAUGCUCAGGGCUAGGAGCGGAUUUCCAGAAACUGUGAUCCCUGGGAUCACCCCCUUUGUACAUUCUUAACGGUUCCUAUAUUCCCUUCUUUGGAUGAAAUAAAGCUGUCCUUGAAGAUCCAGAAUUGAUAUUUCCGUCUUAAAAAGGAAAGCAAUGGAAAUAGAGAGAUGAAUCCAACAAAGGCACUUCUUCACUCUUAUUUUAUUCUGUUAUAUUUUUUUUUUAUUUUAUUUUUUGAGACAGGGUCUCUCUCUCUGUCACCCAAGCCGGAGUGCAGUGCUGUGAUCACAGCUCACUGCAACCUCCAAGUUCUGGGCUUACACGAUCCUUCCACGUGAAUCUCUCAAAGUCACUGGGACUACAGGUGUGCACCACCACGCCCUACUAAUUUUUUUAAAAUAAUUUUUUGUAAGGAUAAGGUCUUGCUACAUUUGCUGAAAAGAACAGUCAUCUCUUUGUCUGCAUUGAAAGUUCAUAUUUUUGUGCCAUUGGCUUUUGUUAAGAUCAGGUACAUCUAAGUAUUUGAGUAUUAUUCUUUUCUAAAACCUUUUAAUAACUGCCAAAGACAGUGCAAUAAAUGAAUGCAAUAAAUGAAUUGGAUGUUGGUUUUUUUUUUACGUUUAAAAACAUUUUUUUCUUUUAAGCAUUUUAGAGCAUUCUGGAUGUUGUUAAUAUGAUUCUUCACUAUCUGAGGAGCUUUUGAGUGUAGACAGAACAUUGACAACUCCUUGUGCUUUAUUUUUUUACAUAUACAUAUACAUACACAUAGGAAUUGGUAAGACAGUUUUCUCUACAUUCUGAUUAUUAAGUUCCCUUCAAUAAUUUAAACUACACUUACAAAUUGAAUAUAACUGAUUCUUUGGAUUAUGUCAAAUCCCUGAAGUAGUUAUAAAAUAUAAAAAUUCAAUAACUGUGAAAUAUUUUACUACACUUCUAUGUAAACCUAUUCUAAAAGAUGAGCUACCGUAGGUUUGUUUCUUCAUUGUUUAUGUGUUUGUUUUUAUGCCUUUCUGGAGUUGUGGCAAUACUUAUUUUGACUCCUUUCCAUGGUUAUAACAAUGUUGCCAGACCUCAAGUAAAAAGAUUUCCUGCUACACUAGCUAGAUUACAGAAACUGGCUCAGGAACCGAUUGAUUUGAUAUUCACACUCUUGACUGGUGACUUCUAUAAGGUGAUUCAAACUCAAGUCAUUGGUCAUUGGUCAUCUGAUGGGGUCCUUUUAUAAAUGAACUUCAUUUUGCUUUUUAUUUAUUUUUUAUAACAGUUUGUGGGUUUAAAUACAUUUUAUUCUCUUGCAAUCUGGUGCUUUGUCUCAGAGUGAUGUCAACUUCAGGUUUUGCUUGCUCACUGUUACAUCAUUCCUUUUCUUGGCAUCAUAUACAUUUAGCCAACUUGGAGCACUAUUGGAAACUUAUGUUUUUUUUCUAAUAUCCUAUAAUAUGCAGUGUCAUCUAGAGGACUCAUAUUCUAAGAGCUGAAGUUACAAUUUGACAGCAUGCCUCUGAGAUCAUUUGGCAAAUUAGUCAUCUUGGCACACAUUGUCGGACCUCUUUCUCCAUCAAGAAAUAACGACUGCUAAUUCCCCACUGGGCUCUCCUCUACCUGAGUAUCAUGGGGGACCAUUAGUCCCCAUGAGGUCUCGUGUUCUUGGCAAGAUGCCCACCCUUCUGUCCUUACGCAAAUGGAAAGACAGUGCGUAUCUGUGCCUGAUCCACACGUACUUAACCAAAGAAGCAAAGUACCUCUAUAUACAUUCUCUUGCUUUCUAAAAUUAUUUUAAAAAUUGGUCAUAUCUGUUAGAUUUGCCCUUCUUUUUUACACCACCUUGCAUGUCAUUUUCAUUGAACUCUUUUUUGUAUGUUCCUGACAGAAGUCUGUUACCUGGGGAAGUUUGACUGUAUUACCCAUCAAUACAGUUGACCACUUAAAUUGGCUUAGCAAACCCUUUUCAUACGUUAAUACCCCGAGUAAACGUAAAUUCAGAUCGGAAUUCUAGCCUGGGAAUGUUUGCUCCUUUGAGUUACAUAUUCAUCUGUGGCUUGGAACAGUGGUGCAUUUGGAAAGUGAGUCAUUUAGACCCUUACUGCCUUUGCCAUUCUCUUAUUUUGUUUGACAUUCCUGAACUCCGGGACAGCUUCUAUAGUUGGCAGCAGGACACGACCAGGACAAGGCACUAGACGGGGUCACACAACUCAGAAGCCCUAAAACCCCUUGGAGCUAAAACCUCAUAAAAUUUCCCAUGUGUUUGCAACUUGCUACCAUUUGGUCGAAUGAGGACACUUUUUAUCUUCAUUAUAGGAAAAGUUAUCCUACAAUUUGCAGAGAAAGGGAUUUUGACAUAGAGGAGGAAGCAUCAGGGGAGUACAACACUUAUUGUGCCUUUACCCCUCCAUCAGCAGCGAGGGUCUAACUCCUGACCUUCCUCCUUCAGGGCCCCUGGCGUCUGUCUGUGGGCUGAGGUUACUGCACCGUCGGCAGAAGCGGAUCAUUGGUGGGAAAAAUUCUUUAAGGAUUUCUUGCUAUGGAUGAACUUUUUCAAGACUUAAAAAAGGGACAAGCUUCCUGGUUAAAGUCAUGUCAAAGGAGAAUCUGAUAAGUCUGGCUUUUCGGAUCGUCCCUAACCUGUGCAUGGAGGAAUUGUCUUCAGAAGGGAGUUUCUGAUGUCCUUAAGCACCUAAAAUUUUUAUAAGUAAAUAAAAGCGCAAAGCUGUCCUGAAGAGAGAACCAAGGCUGCAAGGCGCAGCAGCAGGAGGCGGACUACGGUUCAAACCCUCACUCCACAGCCGGUGUUUCCAGGGGUGGGUCACCCGCUCUCCGAGUGCCUCAGUUUCUUCACCCAUUCAAUAGAGUAUCGACUGGCUUAAAAAAUAUACAAAAUAAAAUAAAAAUAGGAGUAAUAACAGUACUACCUCUUAGACACUCCUUUCUAGCAACUGUCCUACCUUCAUCAAAUGCCAUCAUAUUGCACAGUGCAUGUUCCGAUCAGUCAAUAACUUCUAUUGCUUCCGACAACUCAAAAUCUCUUCCUUUAAUCUGUCAUUGUUUGUUCUCUCCAGCUGACCCCAUGGCUUGGUUACUGGACUCUGCCUUACUGUCUAGCUCAUACAUUAAUAAAUGGGCACCUUAGCUCUGCUCUGCAGCUCUGGAGACCGUGCUUAGAGCAGGGCUGCCAGAGACGAUGCAGACUUUCAAAAUGGUUUGGAUUAGCAAGGAUUUCACUCACUGAACUGCCCGUGUGUCAGGAAGUGAGAGGUUUUGUAUCCUCCUGGAAACCCUUUAUUUGCAAUGGACUUGGCCUGCCACGCUCUUAGGCACCAGAGCUGCCUCUUCUUUCCUCGUCUCUGCGCGGACGCUGCUGACGGGCCGCUGGCCAGGAGGACAUGGGCUCGCCCAGGUCGGGCCUCCAGACUCACGCCCAGCCCAGUGGUCUCAAGACAUAACUUUCUCUACUUGGAGUUUGGCCUCCUGACUUUGUGCUCUGGCCUGACAUUUCAUUUCCGAAUGACCAUUGGGAGCCCAAGAGGAUCCAAGAGAGGGAAGCACACAGGAGAGGAGGAUCAGAGUGGGAGGAAGAAGUUUGGAGACUCUGGAUGACUUUGGGGGGAGGCGGUUCUGUUUGGU